rnacentral:rRNA from 1 species
UACGGGGGGGGCAAGCGUUGUUCGGAAUUACUGGGCGUAAAGGGCUCGUAGGCGGCCAACUAAGUCAGACGUGAAAUCCCUCGGCUUAACCGGGGAACUGCGUCUGAUACUGGAUGGCUUGAGUUCGGGAGAGGGUCGCGGAAUUCCCGGUGUAGAGGUGAAAUUCGUAGAUAUCGGGAGGAACACCGGUGGCGAAGGCGGCGACCUGGGUAGAUACUGACGCUGAGGUGCGAAAGCGUGGGGAGCAAACAGG